rnacentral:rRNA from 1 species
UACGUAGGGGGCAAGCGUUGUCCGGAUUUAUUGGGCGUAAAGAGCGUGUAGGCGGCCUGGUAGGUCAGCUGUGAAAACUCGAGGCUCAACCUCGAGACGUCGGUUGAAACCACCUGGCUAGAGUCCGGAAGAGGAGAGUGGAAUUCCCGGUGUAGCGGUGAAAUGCGCAGAUAUCGGGAAGAACACCAGUUGCGAAGGCAGCUCGCUGGGACGGUACUGACGCUGAGACGCGAAAGCGUGGGGAGCAAACAGG